rnacentral:lncRNA from 1 species
AUCCCCCAAAACCAGUACCCGAAAAGGGAUUACUGACCAAAGACACUCCGGGUACAUCAGAAGAUAUGAGAAAUAAAGGGCUCGAAGGGUCAAGUGUGAAAUUAGUAGGACCAGAAUCAGAACUAUCAUCAACAUUAACCAUUUUUGUGACCGAGAAUUCUUACCAAACCUGAAACCUCACGAAUCUAAACCCUAAGUUCGUGGAUAUCCAAAUCCUUAGGAAUCGAGAUAUUCCUAUGUCGAACCGAUGAAAAUGACGAAACAGAAACCUCAAAAAGACAAACGAUCGCAGCGGAAAACCCAGCAAAACGAGAAAACACUAAAUCCUCAGAUAACAGCGAAACUCGGAUGAAAAUUGAUGAGACUAACGUCGCAAGAAGGCCAGCGACGAGCAGAAUUGGAAUCUCUGCUCUGAUACCAUGUUUACAUGCCAAGAUCACAGAUUGAUUGGAAUGAAAUCGAAGAGAAGAACAGUGAGAGAGAGAGAGAGAAAGAGAACUGAGUCUCUGUAUUUUUGUAUAUGUCGGUGUUUA